rnacentral:rRNA from 1 species
GCCAGACUCCUACGGGAGGCAGCAGUGGGGGAUAUUGCACAAUGGGGGGAACCCUGAUGCAGCGACGCCGCGUGGGUGAAGGAGCGUUUCGGCGCGUAAAGCCCUAUCGGCAGGGAAGAAGGAGGACGGUACCUGACUAAGAAGCCCCGGCUAACUACGUGCCAGCAGCCGCGGUAAUACGUAGGGGGCAAGCGUUAUCCGGAUUUACUGGGUGUAAAGGGGGCGCAGACGGCAGCGCAAGCCAGGAGUGAAAGCCCGGGGCCCAACCCCGGGACUGCUCUUAGAACUGCGCGGCUGGAGUGCAGGAGGGGCAGGCGGAAUUCCUAGUGUAGCGGUGAAAUGCGUAGAUAUUAGGAGGAACACCAGUGGCGAAGGCGGCUUACUGGACGAUGACUGACGCUGAGGCUCGAAAGCGUGGGGAGCAAACAGGAUUAGAUACCCCGGUACU